CCCCUAGAAGUCCUGUGAAAGGGUCGUAUAGGUGUGGUAGUGUUAGGGGUCUGAUGCGCCCCGUGCUGGAACCCAGUUGAUGUUAAUGGGUCGCUGGGGCCCAACAGACCCUAGGGUACACUCAGUCCAUUUAUACACCCUCAUAACUAGAUAUCUAGGUGGCAAAAUUAAAUUAUAUAUUUUUAAUUUGUAUACCCUAGGUGUUCUUGAGGGUAUAUACGCAGACUAUUUUAGUCUACUAAUAAUCAGUACUAAAAUAGCUUUUUAUGAUUGAUCAACUAGUCAUUAAUAACCAAUAUUUCAGGAUUGUUGACUGCUGCUGCCGCCACAAGCGUCAGGUCGUAGGUAUUGGGGAACAUGAAAUGACGUGCCUUACGACUAGCAACUCCAGCAGACGUGACUUAUGAUGGAAACAGUGGAAUCAUCGGUGAAACCCUUGUUAGCCGUGUGGACGUGCCGACCAGGAGUGGAAGAGUACUUUCAUCGUAAAAAGAUGACUAAUGUAACAGUGGAAUGAUCAUGGUGCAGGUAAUACCCGAGUGAUGCUCGUUGAGCAGGCCUCGCCUGCACUCAACGGCCGCAUAACGUUUCAUCAGUUGUAGUCGUGAACACGGAUCGA